UCACAAUGAAAGAAAGAUAAAUCUUUAUUGGAAAAUUAAGGAUACAAUUUUUGAAAGUACUUAAGACUAGGAUGUCCAAAACAUUUAUAUAACAAUUUUAUUUCAAGCAAACUAGACUCUAGAAAAUAAUCAUUUGAUCAAAAGUUAGCCUCACUUGUGAGUAGUAAGCCUUCCAACAAAAAUCAAAUUACAAGCCAAUUUUAGAACAAAUAAGACAUUGUCAAGCACAUCAUCUAAUAAUACAAUAGUGCCAAUUUGAGUAACAUCUACACAUGAAUCAUCGGCAAUUUUUACUACCCAUCUCUCCGUUCAGGGUCCAAGUUCUUUAAAUAAUGACUGAUCCCCUCUUAUAUGGUUAGUUGCACUUGAAUCUACUAUCCAUUGGUUUGAAUGUCAAGCAAAAGGUAAAGAAACCAAAAUCAUACUUAAUUUAGUGGCAAUUAAACCAAUGGCAGUGCUCACUCGAGGAGAUUGUUUAUAAUUUAUGAAGGAGCUUUUGAAUUUGAUCAAUUUGCUCAUUUAAUUGAUUAAAAUCGAGUUUCUCAUCUUCUUGGUUAAUAGCAUAAGGGUCCUUUUGCCUUUUUUGCCUUUUUUAUCUAAAGAGUCCUGUGCAUGACCUUUCUUGUUGCAAUGAUCACAUAUUAAAUGUCUGUUCUUUCUGCCUUUGCCAUCAUUAGUGGGGAUGUCCACGAGUUGCCAUGGCUUAGGCUUCUCUAGAGGGAGAUGUAGUGAACCAUUGGUUAUACGUUUGUGACUUUCCUUGCUUUUGAUUAUAGCAAAAGACCUCCCGGAAUAGAGGAAGUUGUGGAUGACUUAACACUAUAGUAUUGGAAGCAGAGGAAUAAAGCUUGUGAGUGGCCUCACAGAUUUCACGAGCAGUUUAUUAAAGAAGAAAGUUGCAUCCAAUUUCCAGGGUCAUCAACUUCACUAACCAAGACGUGACUAUUUUUAGUGCUCCAUGUAGUGUACUUCACAUCAGAAGGUACAAAUACUAUUGCUCGACCAUCUAGAAACUCCUUGCCACAGCCAUGAAUGAAUAAGAGAAAAGACUAGGACCUUUAUAAAUAAUUUUCCUCAUCCAGUUUGUGAGCAGUGAUGAGACUCAAAAGGUCUCCAAAAGUGUGCGACAAGCUGAAUUAGGUUUAGCUAUUGUAGUGUUAAAAGCUCGAUACUUAAUGAAUUGAAGGUUUCGAUCAAUCAUGGAUCUAAUACCAUGAUAUUAAUUGAGGAAAAAAAUCAUCUUAGUUCAUUAUUUUAUAAAUCAAGGUGCUUAGUACUCAUAGAGAAGAUUAGGCUUAUAAGGACAAAUAAAUCAGAAUAAAAUUUGAACUAAUAUUUGAUUUGAAUUUCAAAUCAGAUCCUAAUCCUCUAAAUUAGGAAAAUUAAAAACAAUAUCAUUAAAAAUUAUUCUAUAAAUUAGAUAUUGGGAAAAUAAAAAUAAUAUCAUUAAAAAUUAUUCUAAGAUAUAAAUUAGAUAUUGAGCCUAGGCUCGAAGCCUUCUAAUAGAUGAGAGAGCUUGUGCUCUCUGUCCAUCCACAAAGGUGACAGCCUCUGUUCGAUUUUUGGCCAUAUAUGCACAUGAAAUAAACUUGGGGAUGGCACGUGGGAGAUCAAGUAAUUGAUGAGAUAGGACCUUCCUUACCUGUUUGAGGCUACAAUUGUGUUAUAGUUUAGUAGGUUGUUUUGAUCUUUGUUGCGUAUCAUUUAUUGUUGGUUCAAUUUGUUUUGAAUGUUGUAUUCUUUUGCUUUAUGUGCUCAUGAUUAGAUUUGAUUGUGCAAAUUAUAAGUGCAAAAUUCAUUAAAAGAGAGGAGAAUUAUAACAUCUUCCUCCUGAGACUUUUGGACAUUUUGUCCAUGUCCAUUUGCAAACAUGAUAGAGAGGGAUGGUUGUCGAUGAACACCAUCAUGACAAGUCAUUAUACGAGCAUCAUCAAUUGCAUUUUUAAGGUUUUAAAUCAUUCCAAAUUGUCCCUCACUUUUGAAUUUGCUCUUUGCACUAUAGUUCAAAGUUCUUAAGGGUUUGAGGUAGGGUUGAGCAAAUGACCCAUGCCCCUCCUAACCCAUUUGUACGCUGUCAAAUUGGGCGGGCACUAACCUACAUGUGAAAAUGUGAGGGGCGACCAUUAGGCAUUAUGUUUUGUUAUAUGAAAUGGCGAAACUUGUAAACUUCCUUCUUGUUCAUCUCCCCUUUCAGUUCCUCAAUCUAUCCUUUCUGCCCUACUGAUUGCCUCGUUUCUCAUCUCCACUUGUCCAAAGUCAAAUAGUCCUUCCUAUCAUUCUUGCUCCAUCGUUCACCUUUUGCUCCUCUCCCAAGUCUAUUGCAGUUCACAACAGAGGAAAAGAGUGAGAAAAGGAGAAAAACAGAUAGGGGCAAUGGGAGAUAUUUAAGGGUGUGCUAGGGUGAGUUUUUAGGCAUUUUGAAGGUGAUUCUAGCUUGGUUUCAUCUUGGUAAGUCUUUCAUUUCCUCUCUUUUUCCUUCUACAUGAUUUGAUUCUAGUUUUGGGGUUGGAUGAUGAAUUUUCGGGCCUUAAGGGCGUAGAUCUAAACCCAAUGGUUCUAGUGGGACUAAUAGGAGUUCUUUAAACUAUUUAAACUUAGUUUUGAGAAUUUUACAAGAUUACGAGGCUGGGGAUGGGGUUUUGAACGAACCCUAUCCACUUUGAAGAAGUUUUUGUGUUGUUGGGUGUUAUGUUAAUGGUUGUUUAAGAUAAAGAGGCAAUAAAAUUAUAGGGAGUUGAUGGAUUCUUUCGCUUUGAAUUUGAAUUUGUGAUUUUGGAAUUGAAGUGAUGGAAGUGAGAGUUAGGAGUUUUAGAUGGCAUUCAAGUUCAUAUUUAAUAAUAUUGCUUGUUGAAUUGUGGUUUAGUGCUUAUCACAUAGUUUGGAGCUCAAUCUAAGCUCUAGAAGCAAGUAUUUAGCGAGGUAACUUUUGAAUUCUCAAAGUUUGAGGUAAUUAAGGGAUCUCUAACUUGUACUUUUGCUUGUUAGAUUCAUUUAGGCUAUUUUGUGAAUAUGAUUAAUGUAAAUUUAUUCGAAUAUAAACUUAUUGUUUUAGAAAAUACAUGCAAGUUUGGCUUGCUUGAAUUUUCAUUAAAGCAAACUAUUUUCAAAAUGUUAUAUCCUAUUAAAUGUUUGUAUUAUGAAAUUAUGAAGUUUUGUAUAUAUGCUUAAGGUCAUUUAACUAUGUUGUUAUAUGCAUCCUUGGAUAAUUGCAUUAUGCUAUGAGUUUUAAAAUGUAUGAUGAUGUAAUGUGCAUGGUAACAUGAUCAUAUUUUGGGCGGGAUGAUGCCCUAAGAGUAAUAGUGCUUACUUUCCAUGUGGAAUUGUAUAACAAUCAUCAUGAGUAGCCUUAGUGUUUUCAUUUUUUUUCGAGUUAGGUCUUCCUGAAUCUCACCUAGGAAUUGGUGUAAGCAUAAGUUGUCCAAACCCUAUCCUUAAAUAGGUAUACAGUAGGACAUGUGACACCUCAUCAGAUUCGAGAGUUGGGGCAAUCUAUGGUUUAAGAUUGAGUGAGGCAUCUUUAGUCAAGUGUCUCCUUAUGAUUGGUGAGUUUGGACUAGUCUAUUUACAUUGACUUAGUCAUAUUGAAUUGUCAGUCCAUGGAUUCAGUUGGUAGUAUAUGGAGGAGAUAAGGUGCUGUUAAUCAUGCAUUUAUAGCAUCGUAGGAUGUGAUUUUGUAAGGUGUAUCUCUGAUUGGUUUUUCUAAUGCCUACUUUGCAUGCCUUAAUUGAUUUGACUUACAUGUACGUGAUUUAGAGUUUUUCUUGGUUAUUAAGAGUUGAAAGUCGUACUCACACCUAUCCUUUAUCUUACAAACUCUAGCUUUAGCGAGUCUAAGGAGAAAACAUCAAGGGUUUAGGAAUCCGUGAUUCCUAUUGUUAGCCUCUUUCUUUUGUUUUUAAUAUAUGUAAUUAAAUGACGAUGUAUUGUCAAACUUAGGGCGAUUAUAUUUAGGUUUACUUGGACCCAUGUAUCUUAAUUGUGAUUGACGUUGUAUUUAGUACCUUAGCUUUGUGUAUUUGUUGUUUGUGUAUGUUUACUUUUGAUUGAUGAAAGAGGAUUAAAUAAUGUGGUUAUGACCUUUUUUGCCUCCCCCGUAGUUUUUGCUGAAAUUAGGGUUGAGUAAUUAAAUUGUAAUGUGUGAUAUUUGUAUGUGAUGGUGCAUUGUAUAGGUUAUUCUAAAUCUUAGAAACCUAGUCUAGGUGAUCGUUUAGACUUUUGGCUCUUGGGGUUUUUGACACUUUGGACAAGUUCAAUUGUGAAAUAAAACCAAUAUCAAGUCAGGCCACUCAAGCAUUAAAAAAAGAAGAAAAUGAAGGGUUAGUGUUGCUAUGCCACACACCGUGGUGUAGAGUAUAUCCACCAUGGCACACAAACACUUCAGAUGUGAGAUUUAGGACAUCUAUGUGCCCAUGCACCACGGUGCAUGGUCAUUUUCUGCAAAAUUAAGUAGCGAACUAAGACAAAAAUAAAGAAGAGAAAAAGGAGAAAACGAAGAGGUGUGUCAAGCUCUGCUAGGGUUUGUUCUUGGACGACAUUGGGAGUGUUUUGGAAGUUACAAACUAUCAUGCCUCUUAAUCUCCCAUUUUCUUCCACAUUAUCAAGUUUAUAGUUAGGGUUUAAUAAUGGAAGAUUAUUUUAGGUCUAUAUAGAUUAUGAGCCUAAAUUUAUUGACUCAAAUAGAGUUAAUGGGAGUAGAUUAGAGUAUCUAAAUUUAUGUAUAAUGAAUUUUCAUGUCUUAGGUGGUUGGGCUUCAUAAAUAUGCAAAAAUUUCAUUAAUGUGGGUUGUUGGAAGAGUGUGAUGUCAUUAAUGAAGGUUUAAUGACCCAUUAAUGUUAAUGGGGACUAAAGAUAGUUAAUAAAUCCAAUGGAUAGGCUCAAACCCAUAUAAAGUGGGUAUUGGGCAAUUUAGAAAUGGAGAAAUGAUAGUUGAAUGCUUGGGUUUAGCAAUAUUAAUGGAGAUUAAUUUGGUAAAUUGUAGAUUAAGCUCUUGGACAUCUAAUUGGCUUGAAAAUUCAAGCUUGGAAGCUAUUAUAUUGAGGGGUAAGCUUUUGACCUCUCAAAGGUUUUAGGUAACUGGAAAAAUUUUACUUUAGGUAGUUAUAUGUUAAUUGUGAUGUGAAUUGUGUGUUUAUCAUGUCAAUUUCAACUUGUGAAAUUGGAUUACAUGCAUUGAAACUUGGUGUCAAUGUAAAUUGUGUGAUAUGUAUUAAACAUGCGAAAGUAGUUGUAAAAUGAGUUUUGAUGCAGUAAAUAUGGUGUUCAAAAAGAAUUUCUCUUUACAAUGUGUUGUGAAUGAGUGAUUGAUGAUGAAUAUAAUAAAGAGCAAUAUAAGAGAUUAAAAGUGAUGUGUUUUUGUGUUAUAAGUGAAAAUGAGGAUUUAUGCCCACUUGGGUAGCAUUUAAAUGUGAUGUGAUAUGUGUAUUCCUUAACAUCAUAUUGAGGUGUCACCCUUUUUCCUUAACAUUUUUCAGGCUUUAGCUUUGGUGCUGAGAGGGAAAAAGCUAUUGAGGCCCGGAACAUAAGCAAAGUUACGAGAAAGGAAUCAGCAUCGAGAAACCACGCUUUGUGAGAAGUAUGGUUCCAAGUCGGACAUUGUUGCUGCUUUGCAUUGUUACUUGCCUUUUUACUUUGGAGAUGGUUUAGCCUCCGGGCCCGUGGUUAGGAUCUUGACUUUACUAGAGUGCAAGUUGUAUUGAUCUUGACAUAUUUCUUUAUUGAUUGAUAGAUGAAGAGCCGAGCUCACUUAGGAUUUGCUUGCAUUCAUGUUAAAGUAGGCAAAGCCAAGCAUAGGUUGAGUGAUAUAAUUAUUUUGAAAAUUGCCUGCUAUUUUGUAUGAUAGGGAAUAAUGCAUGGAUGUGUGCCUUUGAAAUGUAUUUAAUCCUUUUCUAUUA